rnacentral:rRNA from 1 species
AGUGAACGCUGGCGGUAGGCCUAACACAUGCAAGUCGAACGGCAGCACAGUAAGAGCUUGCUCUUACGGGUGGCGAGUGGCGGACGGGUGAGGAAUACAUCGGAAUCUACUUUUUCGUGGGGGAUAACGUAGGGAAACUUACGCUAAUACCGCAUACGACCUACGGGUGAAAGCAGGGGAUCUUCGGACCUUGCGCGAUUGAAUGAGCCGAUGUGGGAUUAGCUAGUUGGCGGGGUAAAGGCCCACCAAGGCGACGAUCCGUAGCUGGUCGGAGAGGAUGGUCAGCCACACUGGAACUGAGACACGGUCCAGGCUCCUACGGGAGGCAGCAGUGGGGAAUAUUGGGCAGUGGGCGCAAGCCUGAUCCAGCCAUACCGCGUGGGUGAAGAAGGCCUUCGGGUUGUAAAGCCCUUUUGUUGGGAAAGAAAAGCAGCAGGUUAAUACCCCGCUGUUCUGACGGUACCCAAAGAAUAAGCACCGGCUAACUUCGUG